rnacentral:lncRNA from 1 species
AAUUUUUGUCUUGCCAAAGAUGACAGAGUCAAAAAGAGAGGCAUAUAUAUAGUUUUUUUGUUUUGUCAGCAUGGUCAGCAUCAACAAUAUAUUACAAAAAUGUAGUGUGAUUGUGUGAUUGUGUGAUUAGGUCUAGUUUAUGGGAGGUCAAUGAUAUUUGGCCAGUCAGCAGUUGUGUUAGCAUAGGUAUAUCUCAUUACCAGAAUAUUUAGCCCCACCCCCUUUGUCAUGGUCAAUUGACUCUGAAACUUAAUAGUUUUCUCGGACUUCUCUUGAACUGAAUUUUAAUGUGCGUAUUGUUAUGCGUUUACUUUUCUACAUUGGUUAGAGGUAUAGGGGGAGGGUUGAGAUCUCACAAACAUGUUUAACCCCGCCGCAUUUUUGCGCCUGUCCCAAGUCAGUAGCCUCUGGCCUUUGUUAGUCUUGUAAUAUUUUAAUUUUAGUUUCUUGUGUACAAUUUGGAAAUUAGUAUGGCGUUCAUUAUCACUGGACUAGUAUAUAUUUGUUUAGGGGCCAGCUGAAGGACGCCUCCGGGUGCGGGAAUUUCUCGCUACAUUGAAGACCUGUUGGUGACCCUCUGCUGUUGUUUUUUAUUUGGUCGGGUUGUUGUCUCUUUGACACAUUCCCAAUUUCCAUUCUCAAUUUUACAUUUAUUAGUUUUUAAUUAGGUCAGUUAUUCUAGUGAACGGUAAAUGAUAUUUGGUGUGCACUGAGACUACUAUAACACAUAUAGUAGUCUCAGGUGUGCAGUUGUAUAAACUGUCACUUUCAAUUUCUAUUGAGGAUAUUUGGCCCUGCCCCCUCAAUUAUUCUCUUUUUACUUGGAAACUGAUGUUACUUUUAAA